UGCGUAGGUGGCAAGCGUUGUUCGGAAUAACUGGGCGUAAAGGAUGCGUAGGCGGUUAAACAAGUUAUAUGUUAAAUAUAUAGGCUUAACCUGUAGAAAGCAUAUAAAACUGUUUAACUAGAGUGCAGGAGAGGUAAGUGGAAUUCCUAGUGUAGCGGUGAAAUGCGUAGAGAUUAGGAAGAACACCAGUGGCGAAGGCGACUUACUGGACUGUAACUGACGCUGAGGCAUGAGAGCAUGGGGAGCAAACAGG
rnacentral:rRNA from 1 species